AAUCAACGGCAGCGUCUCACUCUUUAGGUCUACUACUGCUUCUCAAACUGCUUUCCUGGGCUUUAUUCCUCCGGAUUCUAGAUGAAAUGUUGUGGAGGCUGAAGUCCAGAUAGGCUUAGUUUCGUGGUGUAAGUAAGGCCAGCCAGAACUCCAGGUUCUCCUCGCUGAACUCCGUCUUCAAGAAGGCACGGAAGGCUGCCACCCCAUCUGUGGAUGCAGAAAGGAAUGGGAGAAAAGACAGACAGGAAGAAGCGUAAGAUCAAAGACUGCAGAUGAAGGAGACACAAUACCAAUUUGUCAGCAUCCUGACUAGUCAAGCCUGUUGCUCCUCCACACCUAAUGACACACAGCUACUCUAGGAGCAAGCCAUGUUUCUUGUCCAUGGGCCAGCAUGCAGGGAGAAAUGUUUAAAUCCCAUAGUGACAAUAGCGGUCAGUUCUGAUUAAACCCUCAGAGUUUACUGCCUUUCCACUAAUGCCGAGUUGGCUAAACCCCCGAGUCUGCGGGUAAACCAAGGUAAUAGGCACUAUACUUCUAUACCCUAAGCUGAGUCCACACCAGAGAGAAGACUCAGGCAGUCGUAAGACAAACUGGAUGGGAAUGUCUCAGGGCCAAGCCUUUACCACUAUCAGAGAAAUAUCCAACAGAAAUCCAGUCUGUACUACACCCUGCUGCAUGGAUAGUGUUCUCUGUCUCUUUUAGAAAACCUUUGAA
ensembl:antisense Gm29529 predicted gene 29529